GACGAACGCUGGCGGCGUGCUUAACACAUGCAAGUCGAACGGAAAGGCCCUGCUUGCAGGGUACUCGAGUGGCGAACGGGUGAGUAACACGUGGGUGAUCUGCCCUGCACUUCGGGAUAAGCCUGGGAAACUGGGUCUAAUACCGGAUAGGAGCCAUUUUUAGUGUGAUGGUUGGAAAGUUUUUUCGGUGUAGGAUGAGCUCGCGGCCUAUCAGCUUGUUGGUGGGGUAAUGGCCUACCAAGGCGGCGACGGGUAGCCGGCCUGAGAGGGUGGACGGCCAUAUUGGGACUGAGAUACGGCCCAGACUCCUACGGGAGGCAGCAGUGGGGAAUAUUGCACAAUGGGCGCAAGCCUGAUGCAGCGACGCCGCGUGGGGGAUGACGGCCUUCGGGUUGUAAACUCCUUUCGCUAGGGACGAAGCUUUUUGUGACGGUACCUAGAUAAGAAGCACCGGCUAACUACGUG
rnacentral:rRNA from 1 species